rnacentral:rRNA from 1 species
GAUGAACGCUGGCGGCGUGCCUAAUACAUGCAAGUCGAGCGGUAAGGCCCUUCGGGGUACACGAGCGGCGGACGGCUGAGUAACACGUAGGAACAUACCCCAAAGUGAGGGAUAAGCACCAGAAAUGGUGUCUAAUACCGCAUGUGCUCUAAGGAGUAAAGCUUCGGCGCUUUGGGAAUGGCCUGCGUCCGAUUAGCUUGUUGGUGAGGUAAUAGCUCACCAAGGCGACGAUCGGUAGCUGGUCUGAGAGGAUGAUCAGCCAGACUGGGACUAAGACACGGCCCAGACUCCUACGGGAGGCAGCAGUAGGGAAUUUUCCACAAUGGGCGAAAGCCUGAUGGAGCAACGCCGCGUGCAGGAUGAAGGCCUUAGGGUUGUAAACUGCUUUUAUAUGUGACGAUUAUGACGGUAGCAUAUGAAUAAGGAUCGGCUAACUCCGUGCCAGCCGCCGCCGUAAAAC